rnacentral:rRNA from 1 species
AAGUCCCUACGGGGCGCAGCAGUGAGGAAUAUUGGUCAAUGGUCGGGAGACUGAACCAGCCACGCCGCGUGAGGGAUGAAGGUACAGAGUAUCGUAAACCUCUUUUGUCAGGGAACAAAGGCGGGGACGUGUCCCCGGAUGAGUGUACCUGAAGAAAAAGCAUCGGCUAACUCCGUGCCAACAGCCGCGGCAAUACGGAGGAUGCGAGCGUUAUCCGGAUUUAUUGGGUUUAAAGGGUGCGCAGGCGGUCUGUUAAGU